rnacentral:misc_RNA from 1 species
CAGCUUCCUCAGUUUCCUAUGGUUUUCCCCCUAACAUCAUGAUGGGGCUAGGUGAUCAUUAUGAAAGAACAAACAUAAGAUAUGGUGAUUCCCAACCCUCCACUGGAGCAAGCUGGAACCCCGGGAAUAGNNNNCAACAUUUUGCACAGGGAGGCUCAACUAGACACCUUUUAAAUCUACAAGUUGAGGACACACACCCAAAGAAGAGCAAGAAACAUCGGAGCGACUCGAUGGGUUCGAGCAGCCAAAAUUCUGAAUCAAGUGACAAUCAAGAACCAGAUUUGGAGCUCAGAUUGUCCAUUUAAUGAUCAGUCACUAAUUUCUUCC